rnacentral:tRNA from 1 species
GCGGUCGUGGCGGAAUUGGUAGACGCUUAGCGUUGAGGUCGCUAUGGGGGAAACCCCGUGGAAGUUCAAGUCUUCUCGACCGCACCA